rnacentral:rRNA from 1 species
GAUGAACGCUGGCGGCGUGCCUAAAACAUGCAAGUCGAGCGAACAGACGAGGAGCUUGCUCCUCUGACGUUAGCGGCGGACGGGUGAGUAACACGUGGAUAACCUACCUAUAAUACUGGGAUAACUUCGGGAAACCGGAGCUAAUACCGGAUAAUAUAUUGAACCGCAUGGUUCAAUAGUGAAAGACGGUUUUGCUGUCACUUAUAGAUGGAUCCGCGCCGCAUUAGCUAGUUGGUAAGGUAACGGCUUACCAAGGCAACGAUGCGUAGCCGACCUGAGAGGGUGAUCGGCCACACUGGAACUGAGACACGGUCCAGACUCCUACGGGAGGCAGCAGUAGGGAAUCUUCCGCAAUGGGCGAAAGCCUGACGGAGCAACGCCGCGUGAGUGAUGAAGGUCUUCGGAUCGUAAAACUCUGUUAUUAGGGAAGAACAAAUGUGUAAGUAACUAUGCACGUCUUGACGGUACCUAAUCAGAAAGCCACGGCUAACUACGUG